UGGAAGGAAUGGAUUAGAUCUGUGGGUCAGCUACCUUUUGUUUUCCAAGGAGCACUGUGAGGGCAGAAGGAACAAGGUGGAUGCUACUGGUACAACUCUUCACUAGGGGCUUCUCUACCUGAGGACUUUCUCCAGUCACAUGAAGGCACCUGGCAUUCAGCCAGGACACACAGGAAGAGCUUGUCCCUGGAAGUAGUCACUGACCAAUUUCAAACAGGGGCCACUGGAUCAAAACCUUCUCUUCAUUGCCAGUCAAAUGUUGCCUCCCAGAGGUACGUUCUACAGUGUCUCCCCAGACAUGUCAUGUCAAGGAGCACUGAGUCCCAGGUGCCCACAGAAGCAACCUGUUCACUGACAAAUCCCACUGCUUUCCUUCCUUUGCCCAGCCCACUUCUCCAUUCCCUAAUGGUUCUUCCUGGCAUCACCUUCUAAGAAAACUACCUGCACAGAAUCUCUUGCCUUUGAAUCUUCUUCUGAGGAAACUCAACUUAAAGACAAGACGUAUGAAACUCCAUCUGCUUAGAACUAUUGGGAGGAUGAAAUAAGAUAUUUCACAUAAAGCAUUUCAGCACUGUGUCUGGCCUCUU